GAAGGUAAGCAUUUGAUAAGUAGCAGCAACUCCGAAUGAGCCCAAAAUAACUAUUACACCGAGGGUUUAUCGCCAUGUUCUGAUAACAAAUAUAGCAAUUUUCAAACAUGUCCUUCAAAAGUUCCUUACCAAAUCUAGCCAUGCAUUGGUCUUUUGCUUGAAAUUGUACGCUCCUUUACUAAUGUUAUCACUACACGAAGUUCGAGCAUUAGGCCCAACUAAAGUUGGUGCGGGUAGGCUGAUUGGGCAGGAGCAGCAUGCGGAGCUCCAUAAUC
rnacentral:misc_RNA from 1 species